rnacentral:lncRNA from 1 species
UGUGAGUGAAAGUCUGAGGUAAUAUAUUUAUAAAUGCCGUAAAAAUGGCAUUUAUUGCUCAUUGUUGAAAACCGUACGGUUACCUAUAGUUGUUAAUUUCUGUGUCAUUUUGGUCUCUUGUGAAGAGUUGCCUUAUUGGCAAUCAUACCACAUCUUCUUUUUUAUAUUGUCAAUUCUAUAUUCUCUGAUAAUUUAAACAGACCCAGAUCUUUAUGUAAGAUUAAAUAUAUCCUUUCCUAUGACACGCCAUCAUUGUAUACAUAUAUCUUUGGAAACUAAAGUAGCAACCAUGUGAUUUUCUGAUGGGGG